rnacentral:lncRNA from 1 species
CCCCAAGCAAGGAGUAUCUUUUCUACUACAAUGGACUGUGGAACUGUGUAAGAAACUGCUGGAUUCAACAGAGCUUGAUAAACAGCUCUCAACUGAGUGACAGAAAGCUACUUGGUUCAUGGAUGGCAAUUCCAAGUUAUUUAGUGAAGGAGAGGAGGAGGAGAAGAAAGAGAGAAGGAAGAAAAACUACAGGAGAAAAAGGAGAUGAAGAAGUUGGAGGAGGAAGGGGAGGAGAAGGAGGAGGCUGAGGUGGAGGAAAAGGAGAAGAAGGAGGAAGAGGAGAUGAAGAAUAAUUUUCAACCAGUUCUUUCAGGAACUAAUAAAGUGAGAAUUCACUCACCUCCAGGGAGGGCAUUAAUGUGUGCAUGAGGAAUCCACUCCCAUGACCCAAGCCCCUUCCAAUAGGCCCCACCACCAACGUUGGGGAUGCAAUUUCAAUAUGAGAUUUGGAGGGGAUAAACAUCCAACCAUAGCACUAUUUUUUGAUCUAGAUCCACGCAGAUAGAUGACCAUGCUGGAAAAAUAAACCUAUGUGGAUUCUAAGGACUGAUAUUAAAUUACAACCAAAUUCUUCAAGCUAAGCACUGCUUAGCAAUCCUUUCUUUUCCUCCUAGUCAAUUGUCUCUUACUUUUAUAAAUUCCACAUUUCUUCAUCUUUCCUCAAAAUUCCAUCUCCAUUUCCACGCUCCCAACUUUUGAAUGAUGUCUUUAUUUUCUAUUUCACUAGUAAAGUGACCGACCUAAGCAAUGCUAACUGUAUGAAUCCAUCUGCAUCUGUUCUUUGACGGUCUCCCUUCCCUCCUGACCACACACCUGCUGAAGGUUAGCACCACUUUUCUUACACUAGAUGCUCAAUGAUUUCCUCAAGGAAUUCUCUCCUCUCUCUUAUAUCAUCAGUUUCUUACCUCACCAAGAAUCUACCUGUGAAAAUGCAAAUUAAUUCUUAUUUUAAUAGUUUAAUGAUUCUCUUCCUUGAAUUUAUCUUCUUCUCACUUUAAUUGCACUACAUGUCAACUGUUCUUUAUAGCAGAAAUUCCUCAAAAGCAUAGACUACAUUAGUUUUUUAAAAAAUCCCCACCUCUCAUUUUCUCUUCAGACAAUUUUAAUUAUGCUUUUGUUCCCAUGUGAUACAUUUCUUCCAAUGACUGUCUUGCAAACUUCAGUGAUAAGUUCAUUCUUAUAAAAAUGAUCGGGAGAAUGGCACAACUAUUUCUUCUGUUUUACAUUCAAAUUCUAAAUUAUUACUUUAUUUAUUUUUACAACAAAUAAAUUUGAGAAUGAAUAUAAAGAAAGUUAAUGAUUCUCCAUUUCAUCUCCUGAAAUAAUAAAUGUCAAAAACCUAUUGUCUUUUCUAACAAAAAAGACAUGUCAAUGGUUAACAGAUAAAUAAAAUGCUCAAUGUCACUAAUUAUUGGGGAGAUGCAAAUUUAAACCACCAGAAGACAUCACUUUACACCUGUUAGAAUGGCUAUUACCAAGAAGACAAGUAAACAAGUGUUGGCAAGGAUGUGAAGAAAUGGGGAUCUUUGUAUCUUGUUGAUGGGAAUGUAAAUUACUACAACCAUUAUGGUAAAUAGUAUGGAGAUUCCUCAGAAAAACUAAAAAUAGAAUUACCAUAUGAUCCAGCAAUUCUGCUUCUGGGUAUUUACUCAAAAGAGUUAAAAUCAGUAUGUCAAAGAGAUAUCAGCACCCCCAUAGUACCCACAAUAACCAAGUAAUGACAUCAAACCAAAUGUCUAUCCAAGGGUAAAUGGAUAAAGAAAAUGUGGCAUAUAUGUAUAAUGAAAUACUAUUCAGUCUUGAAAAUGAAGAGAUUCUGUCAUUUGCAUCAAGAUAGAUGGAAUUGGAAAAUAUUAUGCUAAGUGAAAUAAGCCAAACACAGAAAGACAAAUACCACAUGUUCUCACUUACGUGUAAAAUCUAAAACAACUGAAAUUACAGAAGCAGAGAGUAAAAUGGUGGUUACCAGAGGCUGGGAAUGAGAGAAAUGGGCAAAUAAUAGUCAAAAAUAUCAAGCCUUAGUUAGAUAGGAGGAAUACAUCUGAUGUUUAUAAAUCAAUAGCACAAUAUGCUGAUCACAGAUAAUAAUUACUGUACAUUUCAAUAUCAAAGUAAAUUUGUAACGUUCUCAUCACAAGUAAUGUUAAGUAUCUGAGGUGAUUGAUAUGUUAAUUAGACUAAUUUAAUUAUUCCACAUUGUAUUAAAAAUAAUAAUACCACUCUGUAUCCCAUAAAUGUAUACAACUAUAAUUUGUCAAUAUAUAAUUUAAAAAUUCUCCAAAAAUAAUCUGCUGGUUUACUUUCCUUGUGUUUUCCCAUUAUAAAAUUGUGUACAAUAACAUAUGCACAAGUAUACACUUUGAUUUGGUAUUAAAAUGACAAUUGAACCACACUAA